AUCAUACUCUCUCUGUCCCAUAUUUAAGUGCUGAAUUAUUACAUGUAUCUAGAUGCUUUUUAGGUAUAGAUACAUGCAAAUUUGGACAAAUUUGAGUCACUUAAUAUGGGACGGAGGGAGUAUUAU
rnacentral:pre_miRNA from 1 species